AUGGAAUGAUCUUGACUGUUGCACUUUCAACAUGGCGCAUGUGGCUGGACAACAGUCCAACGUGAGCCAGAAACCAGGGGACAAAUCACUAAUCAGGCUCAAGUGGCCAUUUAGAAGGCAGGACCAAAGGAGAACCAAGAAUGCAUGAGGAGACCAGAGCGCAAGAAGACCUGGUUGACUUCAAAAAGCUCAGCUAGAACAGGAAGCCUUUUUAUAUGUCUAGAUGGAUCCAAUGGCCAGUCCAGGUGGAUUCAGUCUAGGGCUUGAAGGUACUGGGAAGCUGCCACCUCCAGUUCAACUGACCACCACCAUAUGAUAGAGCCACAUACAAAUCCUGCAAUUCUGGGCAGACAGGCAGGUCACUUGCGCAUUUUGCAUUGGGAGCAGGUAAGGGACAGUAACAUCCAAACAAUUUUUUUGAGCUAGGGUUUAAAAACGCCUUUGGUAGACCCUCUACAAUGUGAUGCGAUGGAAUAAAGAAGGAAAGAGAAUGGAGACAAAGUAAAAGAGAGCAGAGUCUUUGUUCCAGCCCAGUGGAAGUAGCGAGCAGAUAAGUGUGUUCAGCCCGGCUGCCAUACGGCGCGCUCUGCAUUUACACAUACAAGACAAAACAUGCCGAACAAAAACUGUUGAAAACAACAGAAGGAGCAAUAACAAGGAUAAUAUAUUAACAUGUGUGGGGUCCCCCCCGUUUUUGAUUCUUCUUUUUUUAAAUAGUACUCAACAGCUUUUGAAGACACACAUUCAUGUUUGGUGGCUCAGGCAUAGGAACAGAUGUUGCCUCUAAAGGGUGAGGGACUUUUGCUUUAUUCGCUCCUUAUCCAUUCAAAAAAAACCUUGCCUAGGUGCUAUGAGGUAAGACAUGAGACGGCCUCACACUCUGGUGGCAGCCCUUAUUUCUGGGGCGUGCCCAUGUUAAAUCACAGCCCGUUUUUGCCUUUUGCAGAUGCCCGGUUUGAAAGAAAUGAGGAUCUUGUGUGUUGCUAGAAUUGCCCUUUCAUAGAGGCUGCAAUCCUACCCUCACUUAACUAGGAAUAAGCCCUGCUGGACUCAAUGGGACUUCUGGAUCAGCAUAUACAGACCAGCACAGCCCAAUUGUUUGUUCAAGCAUCAGUAUUAUAUCUUAAAGUCCACAAACUGAUGCAACUGUACUUAUGGCAGAAAACUGAAAGAAAUCAUAAUAGCUCAGGUGGUACAGCAUGAGAAUUUGAAUCACAGGGUCAUGGGUUCAAGCCUCAUGUUGGGUGAAAGAUUCCUGCACUGCAGGAGGUUGAACUAGAUGAUCCUUGUGGUCCCUUCCAACGGCCUCGGUCUAGUAUACCUGAAGGAGCGUCUCCACCCCCAUCAUUCAGCCCAGACACUGAGGUCCAGCGCCAAGGGCCUUCUGGUGGUUCCCUCAUUGCGAGAAGUGAGGUUACAGGGAACCAGGCAGAAGGCCUUCUCGGUGGUGGCGCCUGCGCUGUGGAACGCCCUCCCACCAGAUGUCAAGGAAAUAAUCAAGUAUCCUACUUUUAAAAGACAUCUGAAGGCAGCCAUGUUUAGGGAAGUUUUUAUUAUUUAAUGCUGUAUUGAUUUUAAUAUUUGAUUGGGAGCCACCCAGAGUAGCUGGGGAAACUCAGCCAGAUGGGCUGUGUAUAAAUAAUAUAUUUAUUAUUAUUAUUAUUAUUAUUAUUAUUAUUAUUAUUAUUAUUCCAACUCUACAAUUCUGUGAUUCUCUAACAUAUUUAUCCCACCCUGGUAGGGAUGUUGGAGACAUCCAAUGGAAAUGGGAGCCAAAAUGGCCAACAUUCACUUAUUUCUUCCAUGGCAAGAAUGAAAAUCAAUCCAGUGAUUAUGAUUGGCAUUUUCUGUUGUCACUUUCAGCCGGCAAACAACAUGAUAGCGUUUCCACCUAAUUUGCAGUGUGCUUCCUUGGCACCGAAAUAGAUGGAGUGGAAUUACACAAUGACCAUGUAAUUUGUGCAUUAAUGUAAAUUCCAUAAGUGAUGCAAUUAUGCCGCAGCAGGCUACAAUGCAAUUAAUAUGGUUUUAGGCUGAAGACAAACUGCAGCAGAAUGGAAGCAGCACUGCAGGCCUUGCCUUCUUACUAAAGGUAGGUGAAUACAAUAAAUCCGAAAUUGCUGAUGAAAAACUUAAUUUCUUAAAGUAUAUUGUCAUUCCCUUUAAUAAAACAAACAAAUCUGCAGACGCAUGUCUGAUGUUGUAUGCUACCAAAAAAGAACAAAUGGGUAUUUUUAAACAUUGGCUAUGGAAAGCAAUUGAAAUUCAAGUGUUCUCUCAUUCCUCAAAAGAAUACCAGGUCAGGACCUGGUGCUUUUUUUCUUUCUCUCUUCCAAAGAGCAAUCGGGGUGUGUGUGUAAAUAAGAGUAAAAGGCCACUUGAACCCUCGAAGAUCGGAUCUAAGCAACUGUCCUGGAGCCCAUUUAACACAAGGCUGUAACAUUUUAAGUAUCUCCUGGCCACUGUCUCUAAAGGGAAAGCUCAUGUCAUCCCUUCCAUUUUCCCAUUGUACACAUCAUUUCCUGGCGAAUUCAGGAUUUAUUCCCCAGCUAAACCUUUCUUGACAGGUUUGUUAUCUGCUCACCCAGUCGGUGAGCCCCAGAGAGUCAGGGCCUAGCUGUUAGAGAGCGGGAAAGAGGAGGAGGGGAAAGAAAAGGGACUGGGAAAUAGGGCGAGUAAAUGUCAAGUGAACUGCCAAAGAUGGAUAUUAUAGCUGCUGGGGGCCUUGGAGAGUAUCAUGCAUCUUUUGUGUCUAUUUUACAGUCUGUGCUUCAUGUAAGACGGCAGGGCUGAGCAGAGUAUUGAUUUACUCCUGGGCAUCUACACACCACUUUAGGAUUACUGGGUCGACCAAGAAAAUAUCCACUGGCUUAAACCAACAGACGCUCCUGUAUACAAAACAAACUCAAAAUGAUGAUUUCCAAUCUACUUUCUUUUUUACUUUUCAG
rnacentral:lncRNA from 1 species